rnacentral:rRNA from 1 species
AGGUUAAAAUAUUAAGGGCACACGAAGGAUGCCUAGGAAGUAAGAGCCGAUGAAGGACGUGGUAAGCUGCGAUAAGCUUGGUGGAGUUGCAAUCGAACUGUGAUGCCAAGAUUUCCGAAUGGAGAAAUCUGCUAAGAUGGAGUCUUAGCACGAAAGAGGGAACCGGGUGAACUGAAACAUCUAAGUAACCCGAGGAAAAGAAAGUAAAAACGAUCCCCUAAGUAGCGGCGAGCGAACGGGGGUGAGCCCAAACCGUAGAUGUGCCAAGGAUGCAGCCGUUGCAUCUACGGGGUAGCGGGAAGAUCGUCUGAAGAACUGCAAGGUAUUCGACAUUAUGAUACGCCGAACUGGAA